GUAGGUGGGACUGCGGAAGGAUCAUUA
rnacentral:rRNA from 1 species